rnacentral:tRNA from 1 species
GCCUGAGUGGCUUUGUCGGUUAAGCGUUUGACUUCAGCUCAGGUCAUGAUCUCACGGUUCAUGAGUUCAAGUCCUACUUCAGGCU